rnacentral:lncRNA from 1 species
GCCGGCUCCAGCGCCGUGCCAAGGGCUGCUGUGCUGCCGGGGCCCGGCUGCAGCCGCAGGGAGCGGCCCGAGCUGCAACAGCGGCUCUGGGCCGGCAGGGCCGCAGCAGCAGCAGCAGCAGCAGCAGCAGCAGGAGGAGGAGGAGGCGGCAGUUCCCGGGCCCGGGAUGAGCGCUGGCAUGUAUUAUCUGAGCGGAGCUGAUGUCUCUGACCGCUUUAGCUCUAGAAUUACUCUGAGGCCCGGGAAGGCCCCGCUGGCCGUGGCAGUGGAGCUUUUGGCGGCGCUGGGAUGGAGUGGCCACGGCAGAGUGUUGCUCCGCUUGAGCCUGGGACCUUGUGGCCAGCCCAGAGUUGUGAUGGAGCGUUUUGGAGCGUCCCCAGGGCUGCAGGUCGGAACCUGGGCUGCGACAGGUGAGGUUUUGGGUUGAGCCGGGUGCUGCAGAUCCCGGUGGGAUGUGACAGGUGAGGUUUUGGGUUGAGCCGGGUGCUGCAGAUUCGGGUGGGAUGUGACAGGUGAGGUUUUGGGUUGAGCCAGGUGCUGCCAAGGUGCUGGGCCCUGCCAGAGGUUUGGGUGUGCAGGCAGAUGGAUGUGCAGCCCCUGGGAAGCUCUUGCUGGCUGUUUGCUCAGGGACACACUGUUGCCCUGAGAAUUCAACCUUCUGAUCUCGUUUUCAUAUUUUCUAGGUACUUUCCCAGAAAAGUAACUACAAACAUAGAUGUUUAUAUAUGCUAUUAAAGAAAUGUCUUUUGAUGGACAUUUCUCAGGACCAGUGUGGUUGGGACGGUGGUAACCUAACCAUCCAAUCCCUGGUUGUUGUCAGGAAUCUAUAAAUACUGAAACCACAGAAUAAAUCACUCUCUUUUUCCUAUCA